rnacentral:rRNA from 1 species
GACGAACGCUGGCGGCGUGCUUAACACAUGCAAGUCGAACGGAAAGGCCCUGCUCUUGUGGGGUGCUCGAGUGGCGAACGGGUGAGUAACACGUGAGUAACCUGCCCUUGACUUUGGGAUAACUUCAGGAAACUGGGGCUAAUACCGGAUAGGAGCUCCUGCUGCAUGGGGGGGGUUGGAAAGUUUCGGCGGUUGGGGAUGGACUCGCGGCUUAUCAGCUUGUUGGUGGGGUAGUGGCUUACCAAGGCUUUGACGGAUAGCCGGCCUGGGAGGGUGACCGGCCACAUUGGGACUGAGAUACGGCCCAGACUCCUACGGGAGGCAGCAGUGGAGAGUAUUGCACAAUGGGCGGAAGCCUGAUGCGGCAACGCCGCGUGCGGGAUGACGGCCUUCGGGUUGUAAACCGCUUUCGCCUGUGACGAAGCGUGAGUGACGGUAAUGGGUAAAAAAGCACCGGCUAACUACGUG